AUAAGAAUAAACGAUAUGUUAUAAGCUGUUACAUGACAAUCUGUCUGAUAUAUUGGUUGAUUGUGGGAUGUUUCGCAACGACUCUUAGACUUCCUGAUUGCUCCGUGGCAAGAUGUCCGGCUCGUGUGUGCCCCGAGCCAUACACACCGCCCGGCCGGUGUUGUCCUGUUUGCAGUACGCCUCGCCGACCUGACUGCUCCGUGGUAUAUUGUGCGCUUCUAGGAUGUCUUGGCUCAGAAUAUACACCACCGGGCCAGUGUUGUCCUGUUUGCAGAGGACAUUAGCCGCGUUUUUCAAAAGGUAAAAGGUGCAAGGGCGGCAUGCAUUUCAAUCACAACGGCAAUAUAAAUUGGUGUUUCAACUGAUCAGAGACAUGUACAAAAAUGGCUUGCCUAUGUAUUUAAAUACAGAUUUAAACAAUG